ensembl:lncRNA
AAUUAAUUGACUUGUUUACAUGUUUACAAGCUCUGUCCAUAGAUAUAAAACAGCUGUUGAUGUCAGUAAUUCAGAGUGGAGUUGGCAUGCUGCGUUUCUCUUGUCAGCUGGAAUGAUGAUUGAACAUAACUGGCCACUUCAAAUUAAGGUCAGAUCUCUGGAUGCUCAGUGCAGCAGCGUGAUCUUCAGGACCAGCAGGAGUCUCUAUUAAAGCUAGUUUAUAUACACACUGGAGAGCUUACUGGAGACAACUGGAAAGUUCACUCUGAGGAGCCCCAACGCUGGUAAUCAGUAACUAAAAUGUAUUCAUGGAGCCUGGAGACUAAAAGGCAUGAAUGUAAGUGCUUUCAUAUAUUUUCCAUGUUUGGCACAGAGGUGCUGUGUUUUUCAUGUAAGCAGAGCCCCUUGGAGUGGAGGAUGUCCCAGAGAGGUGAUUAAGGGGCACUGAUGUGUGUGGAUUGAUUGAGUUUUGACCUGAACACAUGUUCUCUGUCCACGUACCGUGAUGCCAAGCCCUGGCCUGGAUUGGCUGGGACUGGAGGCAUCUCACACGGCCCUUGGGUUGGCAUGGGGAACAGUUUGCAUCUGAUCAGAUGUGUCUGGAUUACAUGGGACUGCUGGUUUAAAGACUUG